UGUGGGAGCUGGCUUGCCUGCGAUAGCGGUGGGUCAGCUACAUUUCUUUCAACUGACAGACUGCUAUCGCAGGCAAGCCUGCUCCCACA
rnacentral:antisense_RNA from 1 species